rnacentral:misc_RNA from 1 species
AAGUCGUAACAAGGUUUCCGUAGGUGAACCUGCGGAAGGAUCAUUAUUAAUCGGUCCCUUCGGGGAUGUCUGAAACCCUUGAAUAUAUAACUUUGUUGCUUUGGCGGGCCGCCGUACGGCGUUGGCUCCGGCUGACCGUGCCCGCCAGAGGUCAAAACUCGUUUAUUUAAUGAUGUCUGAGUACUAUAUAAUAGUUAAAACUUUCAACAACGGAUCUCUUGGUUCUG